UGGGGAAUAUUGCACAAUGGGCGGAAGCCUGAUGCAGCGACGCCGCGUGGGGGAUGAAGGCCUUCUGGUUGUAAACUCCUUUCGACAGGGACGAAGCUUUUGUGACGGUACCUGUAUAAGAAGCACCGGCUAACUACGUGCCAGCAGCCGCGGUAAUACGUAGGGUGCGAGCGUUGUCCGGAAUUACUGGGCGUAAAGAGCUCGUAGGUGGUUUGUCGCGUCGUCUGUGAAAUUCCGGGGCUUAACUCCGGGCGUGCAGGCGAUACGGGCUGACUUGAGUGCUGUAGGGGAGACUGGAAUUCCUGGUGUAGCGGUGAAAUGCGCAGAUAUCAGGAGGAACACCGAUGGCGAAGGCAGGUCUCUGGGCAGUAACUGACGCUGAGGAGCGAAAGCAUGGGUAGCGAACAGG
rnacentral:rRNA from 1 species